UACAAACCCGCGACAGGGAUAGUAGUGGAAAUCCUUUUGCUUUUGGUGCUUUUGUUUAAUUUGGAAAGACACAAGUUCUAAAAGCAAAAGAUUGCAACGGAUAGCCCGGUGACAA
rnacentral:sRNA from 1 species